rnacentral:misc_RNA from 1 species
UUUUGAGGCUGGAAAUAAUGGAUCACGAAAAGUAGGAGAUGCUGUAGCUUUAAUUAAGGGUGAGGGCAGGAAUCUCCGUAGGAAAGAGAAGCGGGCGAGGAUCGAACAAAUCAGAGCUAACCUUGGGCUUUCAGAUUCACAAAGAACUCCCAUGCCUGGAGAAUCUCUAAGGGAGUUCUAUAAACGUACAAAUCUAUAUUGGCAAAUGGCGGCACAUGAG